AGGAGCGACUGAGAGGACCCUAGAGGCUAGGGUUUUGCGCUGGGUCACUGCGAUUUGGCAUCAAAGUUCUGAUUUUUGAUUGACAGGGAGGCAAAAGACAUAUACAUCUCAUCUGGGUUUUGGCUUAAGACUCGAAACGCUGCGUUUAGAGGCAUACCCAGGUGGCGCAUUCGCCUGCUUCAAAGGAAUUUGCAUUCGCCUUCUCCCAGGUUACGUCUUUUGUAUUGUUUGUUCUUGGUGUGUUGCAGUUGGGAUUAAUGCAAUCGAUUCAUUUUAGGCGUAAAAUGAUGGCUUACAGAGUCAUUGGAACUGUGAUCGAGUUGAAUUGUAGUAAAUACGCAUCUGGGUAUAAAGAAUCUUUGCAGCAUACUCGAUUGAUGACCACGAGUAAGAGGGUUCAAGAUAGAAGUACGAAGAAGAGGGUGCAUGAUCUUGAAAUUGUGACGGAGAAGUGGAAGAUAGUUUCCAAAGUUUUGUUCCUUAUGGAGGUUUUGAAGAAGGAGGCUGAGCAGAUUAUCACAGUGAGGUCACUGGAUCAGUAUAGGAGGCAGGUUAAUCUGCCAAAGCCCCAUAAGAUAUCCGACUUUAUUCGGAAAUCUCCCAAAUUGUUUGAGUUGUAUAAGGAUCAGAAAGGGGUGUUGUGGUGUGGGAUGACCAAAGAAGCCGAGGAUCUGGUGGCCGAGGAGGAGAGGCUUCUCGAGGAGCAUGCUGAUAAAGCCGCUGAGCAUGUUACGAGGUUUUUAAUGAUGUCGAUAGAUAAGCGGCUUCCAUUGGAUAAGAUUGCCCAUUUCAGGAGAGAUUUUGGUCUGCCAUAUGAUUUUCGGACCAGUUGGGUGCGGAAGUAUCCUCAACAUUUUAGGGUAGUUAAGUCUGAGGAUGAACUUGAGUAUUUGGAACUUGUUUCUUGGAAUCCUGCCUUGGCUGUGACAGAAUUGGAGAAGAAGGCAAAUGGGGCAAAUGGAGAUAUUCUUCCCACACCGGGUUUGCUUUCCCUUCCGUUCCCCUUGAAAUUUCCUCCUAACUACAAGAAGGUGUAUAGGUAUGGAGGAAAAAUUGAUCACUUUCAGAAACGGUCGUAUUUGUCUCCAUAUGCAGAUGCCCGUGGCAUGAAAGCUGGGUCACGAGAAUUUGAUAAGAGGGCAGUGGCUAUUAUGCAUGAGUUGCUUAGCUUUACUAUUGAGAAGAGGUUGGUCACAGAUCACCUUACCCACUUCCGUUGGGAACUUGUUAUGCCUCAAAAGCUCAUGAGACUUCUUCUGAAGCAUUUUGGCAUUUUCUAUGUCUCUGAGAGGGGGAAGAGGUUUAGUGUGUUCUUGACUGAAGCCUAUGAAGGUUCAGAGCUGAUUGACAAAUGCCCAUUGGUUCUUUGGAAGGAAAAAGUCCAGAAUCUUAUUGGUUACAGAGGAAGGAAGCGCAGAAUUGAAACUUUUGAUGACUUGACAGAUAUGGAGGAUACUAGUUUGUUUGAGAUGGAUUCUGAGAAUGAAAAUUUUGAUGCAGAACUCGAGCAGGGUGAGACCAUUGAUGGUUUAGGCAAUGGCUUACUUGCAGAUGACGUUGAGAUGGAGAUUGGAGAGAUUUGCAAUGCAUACAAGGAUAAUGAACCAUCCUGAGGUUCCAGUUGUGUCAAGAAACGGCAUAUGCUUUGUCUGUUAACUGACCUGAUCCGAUUUAAUUUUUCAUUUCUAUGGCCUCUCGCCUAGCUGCCAACAAAGAAAGACAAAAAAAGAAAACAAGGAAAUAAGAAUUUCUUUAUUUUACUCAAGGAUGGUUAGACUAGGAUCUGCCUGUCAGAGAGGAAAAAAAAAGGGACCAAGAUCAUUUCCUUGAUAUUUAUGUUGGCUUACCAAUCAAGCUGCUGUGCUGAUUGAACAUUAUAACAUACAUGUACUGCCUAGGAGCCGUUCUGCUACUGCAAUGCACCUCUCCUAUUAAUCUGUGAAGCAGCAAAUUUUCUGAAAUUAUGCAUUCUGACUACUGAUCAGCUUAUGUGAGUGAGUCUACUCCAUUUUCGAUCUCUAAUUUUACCAUGUAAUCUACCAGGAAAAUUACAUUUGUUGACUGAUAUCUCAUCAAAUGGUCACUGUAUGAAUCUAUUAAAACAGGCACAACUAGCUUACCUUAGCUCUGGGAAGCAACAGGGCCUGAAAGGAAAGCUGCACAGCAUUCAUUUGAAGGAAGCUCAUGGAAAAAAGCUCAAGGAUCUUUUCCUUAGAGGAACCCAGUCAAUCCAGAGUCACGGGGAAAUGGCGAAGGGCACGAGAGUCUGAUCCACC